AUCUCGUUAUAAUGACCCAUACUGUGAAAAGAGACAAAUGCAGCUUGGUGAAUAUUGGCAAUUUUACCUGUGGACCCUAACUAAAAGGUUUUAGGGCUUAAGUCCAGUGAGGAAGUUAAUGGAGUGCUGGACACCAGGCAGUCUAAACAGUCUGCAGUGGCUGCUGUUGGCAGCAAGUGGAUGCAAGUUUCCCAAGAGAAGGAAGAGACAAUCAUGGACUGGAAGAGAAGGAAAGGGGAAUUUCUUGCUCAUCACAGAGUAAAGUGAAGUGAGGGGGAGCCGCAGAGCAUCUGCCAGAGUCGGGACAGGAGUCAGCGACGAGAGAGAGCCUGCACUUCCAGUAAGAGAUCAGAUCAUUACGGCAGUCACAUACUGCCUAAUCACAGACAAACAAGGCAAUGAUGACCGCAUGGGUGUGUGUGCCACAUUGACUACAAAUGAAAUAAAAUAAGGGAA